UCGUCGUCGUCGGCGUGACGGAGGUGAUGACUCCGAGACACGGAGUCCAACGGAGUUCCCGACUGGACGCCACGCUUUUCGAAAGGACAGACCGGGCAGAUACCGGCGAGGAAGCGAGAUAAUCAUCGAUAUUACGGGUAGAACGUGCACUGAUCGCGAUUGGGUCAGGCUGCGAAUCUCGAGCGUCGGCGCGCAACGGCUGCGCGUAACUCUCAAUGGGAUCGUUUAGUGCGGUGACCUGCCGGCGGUGCCGAUCUUUCAGCACAGUCGACUGAUAACUCGCGCGCGCGAGCGCGCGCGCGAGUGCAACCGUGCGUCUUUCUCUGU